AAUUAGCGUCUUCAUUAAUCAGAGGUGUGUUGUGGGCGUAACAUGCAAUCAACCAAUCAGAAGUCCUCUCCCAUUCCCUUUAACAGCCAGGCGUGUUGGGACCUUGGAGCAUUGCCUUUAUGAUGGAGGAUUUGCACCAAAAGAUUUUUAUUUUUAAUCUUUUGCAUGUGUGUGUUCUCCUGUGUGUGUGUGUGUGUGUGUGUG